UACGUAGGGCGCAAGCGUUGUCCGGAAUUAUUGGGCGUAAAGAGCUCGUAGGCGGCUUGUCGCGUCGGAUGUGAAAGCCCGGGGCUUAACCCCGGGUCUGCAUUCGAUACGGGCAGGCUAGAGUGUGGUAGGGGAGAUCGGAAUUCCUGGUGUAGCGGUGAAAUGCGCAGAUAUCGGGAGGAACACCAGUGGCGAAGGCGGGUCUCUGGGCCGAUACUGACGCUGAGGAGCGAAAGCGUGGGGAGCGAACGAGG
rnacentral:rRNA from 1 species